UAUGGACCAGGAUUAGAUACCCUGUUACUCUUUUAAGAAAAUUUUGGAAUAGUAAUUUUAAUGAAAUUUAAUGGAUUUGGCGGCAAGAUAGCUUUUUAGAGGAACCUGCCCUAUAAACGAUGAGCCACGAUAGCCUUACUUUUUUUAUAUUUUAGUUUGUAUACCGCUGUUGUCAGUUAGAUUUUUAAGAAUAUUUUCGAUUAUAAUAAAGUUAUUGACUUCAAGUAAAGGUGCAGUUUAUAAAAAAGAUAGAGGUGGGUUACAUUUAAGUGAAUAGACGGAUAAAAUAAAUUAAAUAGUUUUUGAAGGUGGAUUUAACUGUAAAACUUAAAUAAGUUUGAUGAAAGCUCUAUUUUGUGUACACACCGCCCGUCGCUCUCUUUUUAAAA
rnacentral:rRNA from 1 species